GAUUUUAGCAUGGAAUAAUAGAAUAGGACGUGUGGUUCUAUUUUGUUGGUUUAUAGGACCGCCGUAAUGAUUAAUAGGGACAGUCGGGGGCAUCAGUAUUCAAAUGUCAGAGGUGAAAUUCUUGGAUCAUUUGAAGACUAACUACUGCGAAAGCAUUUGUCAAGGAUGUUUUCAUUAAUCAGGAACGAAAGUUAGGGGAUCGAAGACGAUCAGAUACCGUCGUAGUCUUAACCAUAAACUAUGCCGACUAGGGAUCGGACGGCGUUAUUCAUGACCCGUUCGGCACCUUACGAGAAAUCAAAGUGCUUGGGCUCCAGGGGGAGUAUGGUCGCAAGGCUGAAACUUAAAGAAAUUGACGGAAGGGCACCACCAGGGGUGGAGCCUGCGGCUUAAUUUGACUCAACACGGGGAAACUCACCAGGUCCAGACACAAUAAGGAUUGACAGAUUGAGAGCUCUUUCUUGAUUCUGUGGGUGGUGGUGCAUGGCCGUUCUUAGUUGGUGGAGUGAUUUGUCUGCUUAAUUGCGAUAACGAACGAGACCUUAACCUGCUAAAUAGCCCGUACUGCUUUGGCAGUUCGCCGGCUUCUUAGAGGGACUAUCGGCUCAAGCCGAUGGAAGUUUGAGGCAAUAACAGGUCUGUGAUGCCCUUAGAUGUCCUGGGCCGCACGCGCGUUACACUGACAGAGCCAGCGAGUAUUUCCUUGACCGGAAGGUCCGGGUAAUCUUGUUGAACUCUGUCGUGCUGGGGAUAGAGCAUUGCAAU
rnacentral:rRNA from 1 species